AGGCCCAGUCUCUUCAUCAAAGUGGCCCGGAUUAGUGCGUGAAAAUGGCCCAGCCAUUUUAGUGUCUAGUGAGAGUCCCGAACGACGUCGUUUUUGAGGUGAGUGUUUUCUUCUUCAACUUCCGUUUCUUUCCGCAUUUUUCUGUUUCAGUUUCAGUUUCUCCCGCACCUCUCUCGCGCACGUCUCUCUUUUCUUUUCGGUUUCAUCUUUAUUUCCAGUUGUUGGCAUUAUUUUGAGGUUCCGAAUCCCAUGCCCUAGACUUCCUCAUUGUUUCGGUUUCUCUCUUGCGCUGCAUCUUAUUCCAUUGAGUUGCAGUCUGCUGCAUCUCUGUUUCUCUCCAUUUUUACGUUUCUGUUCUUCCUCUGCAAGUCAGCGAGCAGUACCUCUCAUUCCUCCAUUUUUCGACUGUUUCUGUUUUGGCCGUGAGGUUUGGGUUGCGUUUGUGUGUCUGGGUGUUGCGUGUGGUGAGUCUUCAGGUAAAUCUCUCUCUUUGCUCUCAGGUCGAUGCCUUCCCCGUACUUUAUUUCUCUGUUUUUAUGCAAUUCCGACUUUGAAUUGUUCUAGGCGGUGCCGUUGUUUUCUUCCCCACUCCAAAACCCCACUUUGACGCUCAUUUCUCUUACAGUCCACUUUGUUUCACUUCUGUCCGCAUUGUGUUUAAUCUCCUUGCUGUGGCUUGGCAUUGAACUCUGUUGAGCGGGUGACGAGACUAAUAGAGGUCAUUUUCAAGGCUUAGAUAAUACGCUACAAGAGUCAGGUAAGCGGGAUUCCUAUGCUAGGCCUUACACGAAUUAUUUGAGACUGAGGUUGAUUUUUUUAAAACUUUGCAUAUUUUUGUGGUGAAAUGAGAACUUGGGA